UUCGUAUUCGUUAUAUCACUUGAUCACGGUGAACCAGUUAUGCAUUAGUCUAUUAAUUAUAGUACUUUGUUAUGAUGGUCCUUUUGACUGUUAAUUUGAAUUUUAAUUACAAAGUCCAACAAAGGAUUGGGUUUACUGCUGCAACGUAUCCCACAGAGGAGAUUUGGUAGACAGUGUAUUGAUGGCUUGUAUACUCCCAAGGCUAAGAGAAAAAGUUUUCUGCUCUGUGAUGAGCCAUCAAUCAAUCUUCUUUCCACUGUAUUUAUCGCUGUGCCCCUGCGCUAUUAGAAAGAAAGAAAAAAAAAAAAAAAAAGAUCUGAAUCUACCAAUUCAUCUUCAUCCAGUUCUUCAUCAGCAAAAAAGGUUUGGAUGGGAUGGAACGAACAUUGGGACAGGAAAAAGUAGCAUGAAUAUAUGG